GUGGGGAAUCUUGCGCAAUGGGCGAAAGCCUGACGCAGCCAUGCCGCGUGAAUGAUGAAGGUCUUAGGAUUGUAAAAUUCUUUCACCGGGGACGAUAAUGACGGUACCCGGAGAAGAAGCUCCGGCUAACUUCGUGCCAGCAGCCGCGGUAAUACGAAGGGGGCUAGCGUUGCUCGGAAUUACUGGGCGUAAAGGGCGCGUAGGCGGACAGCUUAGUCAGAGGUGAAAGCCCAGGGCUCAACCGUGGAAUUGCCUUUGAUACUGGCUGUCUUGAGUGUGGGAUAGGUGAGUGGAACUCCGAGUGUAGAGGUGAAAGUCGUAGAUAUUCGGAAGAACACCAGUGGCGAAGGCGACUCACUGGCCCAAUACUGACGCUGAGGCGCGAAAGCGUGGGGAGCAAACAGGAUUAGAUACCCGAGUAGUCC
rnacentral:rRNA from 1 species